rnacentral:rRNA from 1 species
UGGGGAAUAUUGGGCAAUGGGCGAAAGCCUGACCCAGCGACGCCGCGUGGGUGAUGAAGGCCUUCGGGUUGUAAAGCCCUGUCAUGCGGAAAGAACGACCCUGAGACGCAUACUCUCAGGGAGUGACGGUACCGCAGGAGGAAGCACCGGCUAACUCCGUGCCAGCAGCCGCGGUAAUACGGAGGGUGCAAGCGUUGUUCGGAAUUAUUGGGCGUAAAGGGCGCGUAGGCGGUAAUGUAAGUCAGAUGUGAAAUACUGCGGCUCAACCAGAGAACAGCAUCUGAAACUGCAUAACUAGGGUACAGAAGAGGGAAACGGAAUUCCCGGUGUAGAGGUGAAAUUCGUAGAUAUCGGGAGGAACACCAGUGGCGAAGGCGGUUCCCUGGUCUGAUACUGACGCUGAGGCGCGAAAGCGUGGGGAGCAAACAG